UUUUUAUAAGGAUAACUACGGAAAAGCUGUAGCUAAUACUUGAACGAUUGUUCUAUGGAACCUUCGGGUUCUAUAGAAUAUGUACUUGUUAAGCCUUAUAAGAAAAAAGUUUUAACUUAAGGAAUUAUAACAAAGAAGCAACACAUAAUAAAACUCUGUUUUAUUUAGUGUGUAUCAAUCGAGUUUCUGACCUAUCAGCUUUUGAUGUUAGGGUAUUGGCCUAACAUGGCUAUGACGGGUA
rnacentral:rRNA from 1 species